AUCUGCAGUAAUGUGAACGGAGAGGUCAAAUCGAGCUGCUUGUGGCGAUGAGGUGCGCUUGCAGCGUGACCUGUUUACAUAGGGAGAUCAGCUCCCUCCCCAUUCUACACAGAGAGUCGGAUACAAGUAGAGAGGAUAUUGAAAGUGGACGAUAAAGAAAGGGUGCACGGACGUAAUUCACUUUUCACAACUUUUCAGAUUGGUGUGGAAUGCCAAGGAGCGAAUCCUGUACGUGAGGGAAACAAUGAUUCGCAUUUAUGGGCAAGCGACACGAACACAAGGGGAGGAAAUGAAUAGGAUCUUUCUGUCAAGGCCAACAUUUCUUGCCCAUCCCGAGAUCACCCUGGUGGUGAGUUGCUCUCUCGAACCGCUGCAGUCCAUGUGCUGUCGGUAGCCCCGCGAUGCUGUUUGGGCGGGGAUUCCAGAUUUUGACCCAGUGACACCGGAGGAACAACGAUAUAUUUGCAAUUCAGGACAGCGAGUGCCUCGGGAAAGAACUUGCGAAUGGUGGUGUUCCCACGGAUCUGCUGCCGUCAUCGCUCAAGGCUGUGUUGGCCAUGGGUUUGGAAGGUUGCUGCCUGAGGAAUUCUGGUGAAUCUUGUAGAUGCCGGGGAAAUGACCCUGCCGCCGCCGCCGCUGCUGCUGUCCCUGAUCACCGGGAGAAUGACCCUGCUGCUGUCCCCGAUCAGCGGGAGAAACCUCUCUGCAGUCGACCUGACGUGCGCUUCCAUGGCGGCUCCGGCCCGUGCCAUCUGCUUGGUCGUCAGCGCGAUCUACGCGGCUAGGUAACAGAUGGACAGAACACCACGGGGAAAGCACAGCGACUGCUGCAAAGUGAUUUUCCGAUCUGGUCGGAAAUCUUGGAAGGUCCACGUUACCUGACGAAGGUGCAGCACGCUGAAAGCCAGGACAGGGUAACCCCCAUAUCCGCGGCCCGAACGUGAUACAGGGGACAUUCUGGAACCAGGGGGCUGCCAGGAAGGUAA